UUGAUUUAUAUUUUCCGCUACUUGUCAAUAUGAUGGCCCGUUGUAAAUAAAUGAGGCCUGGCCAUCACUUAUACUUGGGAACUACUUUUCAGUGAUAGCUGUAUUGACUAAGGGAACUACGGCGGGCUUAUGCCUACUGAACUAUAUUCGAAACUAUCAGAGUGUAUAGCAGAUUAGAGCAGAUUACAGCAGCCUUAAAGCUGAUUCGUUGUUUGUCAGAGCUCUUGUGGAUAAUCAGACAUGGGGUUCAUGGCAAAAUUAGGACAGACUGAAGGCAGCAAAUUCCGCGUUGGCCGUGCACUUUGAGGAGAAGACAUUGUCUUUGUAUAAGUGCCCCUACAAUCAUCUCUUUACAGCAGAGAUAAGGCCUUCAGGUAAUU